GUCGGCGUAACUCAGCCUGGUAGAGUGACGGUUUCAUAAGCCGUUUGUCGGAGGUUCAAAUCCUCCCGCCGACA
rnacentral:tRNA from 1 species